rnacentral:rRNA from 1 species
UACGAAGGGUGCAAGCGUUACUCGGAAUUACUGGGCGUAAAGCGUGCGUAGGCGGUUGUUUAAGUUUGUUGUGAAAGCCCUGGGCUCAACCUGGGAACUGCAGUGGAAACUGGACGACUAGAGUGUGGCAGAGGGUAGCGGAAUUCCUGGUGUAGCAGUGAAAUGCGUAGCGAUCAGGAGGAACAUCCAUGGCGAAGGCAGCUACCUGGACCAACACUGACACUGAGGCACGAAAGCGUGGGGAGCAAACA